GUACAGCGCAGUACAGGCCCUUCGGCCCACGAUGUUGUAUCGAACUUUUACCCUCAUCCUAAGGGUAAGGACUGCCUGCAAAAUCUGAGAUUGGGUUUUGAAAGACAUCAACCUUUGCUUGCGAGAGAUAAUGGUAACUGCAGAUGCUAGAGAAUGCGAGAUAACAAUGUGUGGAGCUGGAUGAACACAGCAGGCCAAGCAGCAUCUCAGGAGCACAAAAGCUGACAUUUCGGGCCUCGACCCUUCAUGCGAGAGAACGUAACGUUUUUAAAGAAGAAAUUGCCCCAGUCAAACAAGAAGUCAAAAUAUUAAAUGAUCUGGCCAGUCAAUUACCUCCGCUUGAUGUCUCUUUCUCUCCAAAGAUUUCUCACCAGCUUGACGACCUAAAUAUGAGGUUGAAAUUUAUACAGCAGCAGGAGGUGAGGAGGCAGAGACUGCAACCCUGAGGUCACGGAGGGAAGGAAAAGAGGCUCUUACUUGGAGAUUGAGAAGCAGGAGAGGGCACAACCCAGAGGUUUGGGAGUGGAGAGAGGCUGCAAGUUGGAGGUCAAGAAUCUACCCCGGAAGAGAGAGCCCAGAGAAUUGCCCAAGCUGUCUGCAAACAGUCAAUUGACGUGAAGGAAAAUUGGGACCAAUUGAAAACCCAUGCGAGCAACUGGCAGAAACAGGUGGAAAAGGCGUUCGAGAAACUUCAAGAACCGCAGAAAGCUCUGGAUGAUCUUGAGUCUCAUGUGAUAACAGCUGAGGGGGUCCACACUGAUUGGCAACCUGUGAAUGACCUGUUUAUUGACGCAUUGCAGGAUCACAUUGAUAAAACCACAGGUAAGGACUGCCUGCAAAAUCUGAGAUUGGGUUUUGAAAGACAUCAACCUUUGCUUGCGAGAGAUAAUGGUAACUGCAGAUGCUAGAGAAUGCGAGAUAACAAUGUGUGGAGCUGGAUGAACACAGCAGGCCAAGCAGCAUCUCAGGAGCACAAAAGCUGACAUUUCGGGCCUCGACCCUUCAUGCGAGAGAACGUAACGUUUUUAAAGAAGAAAUUGCCCCAGUCAAACAAGAAGUCAAAAUAUUAAAUGAUCUGGCCAGUCAGUUAUCUCCGCUUGAUGUCUCUUUCUCUCCAAAGAUUUCUCACCAGCUUGAUGACCUAAAUAUGAGGUUGAAAUUUAUACAGCAGCAGGAGGUGAGGAGGCAGAGACUGCAACCCUGAGGUCACGGAGGGAAGGAAAAGAGGCUCUUACUUGGAGAUUGAGAAGCAGGAGAGGGCACAACCCAGAGGUUUGGGAGUGGAGAGAGGCUGCAAGUUGGAGGUCAAGCCACCAGACUCAGAGUACCUGUUGGGACCAUCCAAAAAUGACUGAACAUUUUCACUCAUUAGGUAAGUAGAUUGAUAAUAGGACUCUGGUUCUGUGCCACUGUCAGAUCAUUGCGACUCCAAAAGGUACCAAAGUAAAUUCUGGAUUCUAGGCAAAUAUACCUAUGUGUUUAGAUCUAUUUAGAUGCAUUCAUGUAGGCUAAAAAUACUUGAAAUAAUGUAUAAUUAGGAGUG